rnacentral:hammerhead_ribozyme from 1 species
AUCGAGCUGACGAGUCCUAAAUAGGACUAAACGCGCGUCCUGGAU